GAUGAACGCUAGCUAUAGGCUUAACACAUGCAAGUCGAGGGGAAACGGCAUUAUGUGCUUGCACAUUUUGGACGUCGACCGGCGCACGGGUGAGUAUCGCGUAUCCAACCUGCACUUUACUUGGGGAUACCCCGUUGAAAGACGGCCUAAUACCCGAUGUAAUUCAUUGAUGGCAUCAGAUAUGAAUACAAGAUUUAUCGGUAAAUGAUGGGGAUGCGUCUGAUUAGCUUGUUGGUGAGGUAACGGCUCACCAAGGCGACGAUCAGUAGGGGUUCUGAGAGGAAGGUCCCCGACAUUAGAAAUGAGACGCGGUCCAAACUCCUACGGGAGGUAGCAGUGAUGAAUAUUGGACAAUAGACGCAAGCGUGAGCCAGCCAAGUAGCGGGCAGGAAGACGGCCGUAUGGGUUGUAAACUUCUUUUAUGCGAGAAUUAUUUGAUUCACGUGUGCGUUAUUGCAUGUAUCGGAUGAAUAAGGUCCGGCUAAUUCCGUG
rnacentral:rRNA from 1 species